AGCGAACGCUGGCGGCAGGCCUAACACAUGCAAGUCGAACGAACCUUUCGGGGUUCGUGGCGGACGGGUGAGUAACGCGUGGGAACGUGCCUAUAGGUUCGGAAUAACCCAGGGAAACUUGUGCUAAUACUGAAUGUGCUCUUUGGGGGCAAGUUUCAUCGCCUUUAGAGCGGGUCGUGUCUGAUUAGCUAGUUGGUUGAGGUUAUGGCGCAUCAUGGCGACGCUUUGUAGCUGGUCUGAGAGGAUGGGCAGCCACAUCGGCGCUGAGACACGGCCCAAACUCCUACGCGAGGGAGCAAUGGGGGAUCUUGCGCAAUGGGCGGAAGCCUGACGCAGCUAGGCCGGGAAAAUGAUGAAGGUCGGAGGAAUGUAAAGUUCUUUAACCGGGGACGAUAAUGACGGUACCCGGAGAAGAAGCCCCGGCUAACUUCGUG
rnacentral:rRNA from 1 species